UUUAAAGAGAGUUUGAUCCUGGCUCAGGACGAACGCUGGCGGCGUGCCUAAUACAUGCAAGUCGAACGAACGGAGGAAGAGCUUGCUCUUCCAAAGUUAGUGGCGGACGGGUGAGUAACACGUGGGCAACCUGCCUGUAAGUUGGGGAUAACUCCGGGAAACCGGGGCUAAUACCGAAUGAUAAAGUGUGGCGC
rnacentral:rRNA from 1 species